GAUGAACGCUGGCGGCGUGCCUAAUACAUGCAAGUCGAGCGAAUGGAUUAAGAGCUUGCUCUUAUGAAGUUAGCGGCGGACGGGUGAGUAACACGUGGGUAACCUGCCCAUAAGACUGGGAUAACUCCGGGAAACCGGGGCUAAUACCGGAUAACAUUUUGAACCGCAUGGUUCGAAAUUGAAAGGCGGCUUAGGCUGUCACUUAUGGAUGGACCCGCGUCGCAUUAGCUAGUUGGUGAGGUAACGGCUCACCAAGGCAACGAUGCGUAGCCGACCUGGGAGGGUGAUCGGCCACACUGGGACUGAGACACGGCCCAGACUCCUACGGGAGGCAGCAGUAGGGAAUCUUCCGCAAUGGACGAAAGUCUGACGGAGCAACGCCACGUGAGUGAUGAAGGCUUUCGGGUCGUAAAACUCUGUUGUUAGGGAAGAACAAGUGCUAGUUGAAUAAGCUGGCACCUUGACGGUACCUAACCAGAAAGCCACGGCUAACUACGUGCCAGCCGCCGCGGUAA
rnacentral:rRNA from 1 species